rnacentral:lncRNA from 1 species
GCCCCAAAAAAAUGUCGGACAGUCAGCAGUCACAGCCUUUUCGUUGGAACUUGGAAGAUAUUUUGUUGUGUUAAGUUGUUUAUCGAGACGAAGGCUAUGAAUGUUGAAUGCUUCACCAGCUCCAAUCAGCUAUUUUUGUGUUUUGAAUGAAAAAUGCAGUGCAGAUAGUGAUUCAAAAUUGCUCAUCGGUUCAGCAUGAUGACUGGAUUAUUACAGUAGUGCUACAUUCCAGAUGGCAACUCGAGGGAUUACAGUUGUGAAUUUUGGUCCAAGGCUAUCCUGCUGGCUAGGGAGGAAGUUAAAUCAACUGUUUUGGAUGUAAUUACGAGUUCCUUAUUCAUUCCGUGCCCUAAAACUAGUGUUUGAUGGCCAGUCACCCUGUAUGGAUGACUUUCAAUUGUAACAUCUGUCAACAUCUAUGGAAAUCACUUUAGGAUUGUUGUUUUCCUGAUAGACCUAUUCAUGUCACCUCUUUACGUUUUGUUCCUCUUCUGUUCGUCACCAACAUAAUCAGCUGGAAGAUUGAUUCUCAUUCUGUGAGAAUCCUAGUGUUGGAGCCUGGCGUUGCUGCAGUGUGUAUACAUUUGGCGGUUACUGAUUAAUCAUCGACAUUACGUAAGUUGUGUGUGCCGCAGUGAUGAUUUGGGCUCUUUCUGUCUUGGCUUACCGCAAUCCCGCGCUUGGUGGUAACUCACGGGGUACAUUGUUGCUUAAUCGAAACCCUCGAUUUCACUCAUAAUAACGAAGACAAUUCAAUCCAGGAAAUUUUUCUUCCGGCGUCCUCACCUCCCGUCACCUCCGGAUUAUGGCCACUGCUCCUGCUGUCGGAUGAUGUGUACGCGGAAAUUGAUCCUGACGCAGCACACCGCAACUGCCUUUGUUCAGGUUUUUCAAAAAUCCGGUUGGGAUUCAAAUGUUGCCGGUCUGGACAUGUCUGGAAAACGACAGGGCGCCCAUAGCGGUGAAUCUACAAACUAAAGAAGCCUACCGUGAAUAUUUUAAUAUGUUUUGCAAAUACUUGGGAAGAAUACGUUUGUAUGUUUUUUAAAAUGGUUUUAGGUGUGGUACUCUCUAUUUAGUUUGUGUGGUACUAUCUUGAUAGCGGCGUUCAAACCAAAACAAUCAUUUUUCCUGGAACAAGUUAAAGUUUAGUAUGGUUUCUUCCAAACCCAAAACAAGACAAAGAAGAGCAUACAUAGCUUCCUCUAUUCUGUCAAUAUUUUUCGUAACCAAUUUUUUAUUUAUUUUUUAUUUAGAUAAACAGCAACCUGACUGGAGAAACUACCGAUGUUGGCCGAGUUACGUCCCACUUGAUUCUUCCCCUUUCUUUAAAGUCCAAGUGUACACCCAUGUGAGUGUUGGUGUAUUCACGAGGACCUCCUUUUUCCUAUCCCACCUGGUGGAUUCCACUUUCAACUGUUGGAGCACCUGUGGAUGGAUGCCUGACUGUAUACUUCCCAGGCUUAAAGGUAGGAGAAAUACAUCUCUAUUCUUCCUUUUGGACUGUUUUGUAGUGUUGAUUCUAAACCGUUACGGAGUACGAUUGACUAUGGAACUAACUAAUGGAAGGGGGGAACUUUUGAAAAUGAAAAAAUGGAAAAUUUUGUAGAACGACUGCCGAUCAGGCCCGUGGAGGCAGGCAGGUCGAGGACUUAGUUUAUUAAAAAUGUGCGAGUUUUAAGAACAUACUCGAAUUAUGAUUUUUGGUUCAUUGGAGUAUUUUCUCUAUUCUGAUUCUUCAUCCAACACUGUUUGAGAAAUGAAGUCGGAGACUUGUUGUUGGCAGAUAGAUAUUUAUUUCGGCGGUAUCUUCUCGCUGCUUUCGAAAAGAACAAUAGCACAGAUACUUUUUUCCAUUUAUUGUUUCGUUCUUGGGAAAGUUUUGGCGUUGCUGGGGAAUGGCCAAAUUUGCGUCUUGUUUUACGUCUUG